rnacentral:rRNA from 1 species
CACCUCAAGAUGAGAUUUCCCAUAGCAUAAGCUAGUAAGACCCCUUGAAGAACACAAGGUUGAUAGGUCAGAGGUGUAAGCAUGGUAACAUGUUCAGCUGACUGAUACUAAUAGGUCGAGGGCUUGACCAAUAA